rnacentral:rRNA from 1 species
AUUGAACGCUGGCGGCAUGCCUAAAACAUGCAAGUCGAACGAGUGGCGGACGGGUGAGUAAUGUCUGGGCAACUGCCUGAUGGAGGGGGAUAACUACUGGAAACGGUAGCUAAUACCGCAUACCAUCAGAUGUGCCCAGAUGGGAUUAGCUUGUUGGUGGGGUAACGGCUCACCAAGGCGACGAUCCGUCGCUGGUCUGAGAGGAUGACCAGCCAAACUGGAACUGAUACACGGUCCAGACUCCUACGGGAGGCAGCAGUGGGGAAUAUUGCACAAUGGGCGCAAGCCUGAUGCAGCCAUGCCGCGUGUAUGAAGAAGGCCUUCGGGUUGUAAAGUACUUUCAGCGGGGAGGCGUUACCCGCAGAAGAAGCACCGGCUAACUCCGUGCCAGCCGCCGCGGUAAUAC